rnacentral:miRNA from 1 species
CCGUGGGCUGAGCCAGUGAGCAGCUGGUAGCUGGGAACUGACUCUAACAUGGAGCCCUUCAUACCUGUCCACCCCCUGCUUCCCGGCCCACAG